AAUAGAUACCCGGGUAGUCCACGCCGUAAACGGUGGGUACUAGGUGUGGGUUUCCUUUCUUGGGAUCCGUGCCGUAGCUAACGCAUUAAGUACCCCGCCUGGGGAGUACGGCCGCAAGGCUAAAACUCAAGGAAUUGACGGGGGCCCGCACAAGCGGCGGAGCAUGUGGAUUAAUUCGAUGCAACGCGAAGAACCUUACCUGGGUUUGACAUGCACAGGACGCCGGCAGAGAUGUCGGUUCCCUCGUGGCCUGUGUGCAGGUGGUGCAUGGCUGUCGUCAGCUCGUGUCGUGAGAUGUUGGGUUAAGUCCCGCAACGAGCGCAACCCUUGUCUCAUGUUGCCAGCACGUUAUGGUGGGGACUCGUGAGAGACUGCCGGGGUCAACUCGGAGGAAGGUGGGGAUGACGUCAAGUCAUCAUGCCCCUUAUGUCCAGGGCUUCACACAUGCUACAAUGGCCGGUACAAAGGGCUGCGAUGCCGUGAGGUGGAGCGAAUCCUUUCAAAGCCGGUCUCAGUUCGGAUCGGGGUCUGCUAACC
rnacentral:rRNA from 1 species